CACCAUCUUGUGCCAGAGCUAGCAAUAACCGAUGGGUAUAUUUACCAUACAUAAAGGUACCGUCAAUUUAUACCAAUGGCUUACAGUACAUCUUUUCUAACGCCUUUUGCUUAGCUAUUCAAGCCUUACGGUAAGAGGGCAUGUACCUCAAUUGGCUAAGAAUAUUGGCAAUUAAGACCAACACAGAAGUCCUGGAAUUCGCCUUCACCAUCGGUAGUAUUAAGCUAGCUAUCAUACCCGAAUCCAUCUUGGGAUGAUC
rnacentral:lncRNA from 1 species